rnacentral:rRNA from 1 species
AUUGAACGCUGGCGGCAUGCCUUACACAUGCAAGUCGAACGGCAGCAUGAUCUUUGUUGCUGGAUUCAUGGCGGGUGGCGAACGUGUGGGUAAUACAUCUGCACGUGCGCGGUAGUUGACGUUCACUAGUCGGAAGUUUUACCACUACCGCAUAGGACGUGAGGGUGAAAGUGGUUGGCCCCAAACCCUCAUGCUAUAGGCUCGGCCGAUGUCUGAUUAGCUAGUUGGUGGGGUAAAGGCUCACCAAGGCGACGAUCCGUAGCUGGUCUGAGAGGACGAUCAGUCACACUGGAACUGAGACACGGCCCAGACUCCUACGGGAGGCAGCAGUGGGGAAUUUUGGACAAUGGGCGAAAGCCUGAUCCAGCAAUGCCGCGUGUGUGAAGAAGGCCUUCGGGUUGUAAAGCACUUUUGGCCGGAAAGAAAGGGAGCUGGUUAAUACCUGGGGUUGAUGACGGUACCGGAAGAAUAAGGACCGGCUAACUACGUG